UGGGGUGUGGUGUAUGGUGCACAGCUGCAUUCAUUGCAGGGGCUGUCAGGAAUAUGAUGCAGCAGGCCGGGGUUCGAAUCCCCGUGUCCCAU